GAGAAGUAGCUGUAAAGCUCAGGAGGGAUAGCGCCAUGACACACCGAUGCUAUAUUAUUGGCGCUAUCCAUCCUGAGUUCCAUGGCUUCUUCUU
rnacentral:pre_miRNA from 1 species